UACGGAGGGUGCAAGCGUUUAAUCGGAAUUACUGGGCGUAAAGCGUGCGUAGGUGGUUGUGUAAGUUAUAUGUGAAAUCCCUGGGCUUAACCUGGGCAGGUCAUAUAAUACUGCGUGACUCGAGUAUGGGAGAGGGUAGUGGAAUUUCCGGUGUAGCGGUGAAAUGCGUAGAGAUCGGAAAGGAACACCAGUGGCGAAGGGCGGCUACCUGGCCUAAUACUGACACUGAGGCACGAAAGCGUGGGGGAGCAAACAGG
rnacentral:rRNA from 1 species